GCCUGGCUGGCUCAGUUAGUUGGUAGAGCAUAUGACUCUUGAUCUUAGUACUGUGAGUUCAAGACCCAUGUUGGGCA
rnacentral:tRNA from 1 species